rnacentral:tRNA from 1 species
GGAUAGCUCAGUGGUAAAGUGUGUGCCUAGCAUGCAUGAGGUCCUGGGUUCCAUCCCCAGUACUGCCA